AACUUUCGACAAUGGAUCACGCGUCAACUUUCAGCAACGGAUCUCUUGGCUCUCGCAUCGAUGAAGAACGCAGCGAAAUGCGAUAAGUAAUGUGAAUUGCAGAAUUCAGUGAAUCAUCGAAUCUUUGAACGCAUCUUGCGCUCCUUGGUAUUCCGAGGAGCAUGCCUGUUUGAGUGUCAUUAAAUUCUCAACUCUUCUAUACUUUGUUGUAAAGGAGAGCUUGGACUGUGGAGGCUUGCUGGCCACUUGCUGAGGUCAGCUCCUCUGAAAUGCAUUAGCGGAACUGUUUGCGAUCUGCCACAAGUGUGAUAAACUAUCUACACUGGCGCGGGGAUUGCUCUCUGUGUUCAGCUUCUAAUCGUCUCAGUGACAAUUUCUUGAAUGCUUGACCUCAAAUCAGGUAGGACUACCCGCUGAACUUAAGCAUAUCAAUAAGCGGAGGCU
rnacentral:misc_RNA from 1 species